GAUGAACGCUGGCGGCGUGGAUAAGGCAUGCAAGUCGAGCGGUUUCCCGAUUUAUCGGGAAGCAGCGGCGAACGAGUUAGUAAUACCUUGGCAAUCUACCCUAGAUCGGGAAAUAAUUCGCCGAAAGGCGGACUAAUGUCCCAUAACAUCCGAUUUCGUCAGAUUUCGGAUUAAAGGCGCAAGCCGAUUUUGGAGGAGCCUAGGCCCGAUCAGCUUGUUGGUGAGGUAACGGCCCACCAAGGCUAUGACCGGUAGGGGAAGUGAGAGCUUGUUCCCCAACGACGAAACUGAGACACGGUUCGUACACCUACGGGUCGGCAG
rnacentral:rRNA from 1 species